rnacentral:tRNA from 1 species
CAGUAGCUAAGUGGAUAACGCGAUGGCGUUUGAAGUGAAAGGUACUGGGUUCAAGUCUCAGAAUGAA